GUAAGUAACAGCGUGCGUCACAUGAAUCAACAGCAAUGAUGACCUCAUUUUUACCACAAAACUCACUCCACACUCUUUGAGCAGCUCCAGAUGCAUGAGCGUUCACACACACGCACCUUAAACAUUUGACUUCCUGUCUGGCUUAGAGCUCAUGCAGGUGUUGUGCCUGGCGGCAAAGCCAAAUACCCAAACAACUACCAUCACACCUGGCUGGAACCGCAGACAACCGCAUGAGGCCCCCCAAAACAGACUGAGACCCUGAAAUGAUGCUGGUUUUCCGGUUGAUUCACCGGCAGCAUCUUGAGUCACAGCCAUUGGGUCCGACUCCAAUCGCGCAGCUGCUGCCAGCUUAAUUGACUCCAGCGAGGAAUCGUCUAUUUUAUCUGUUCUCUUAAUUCUCCUGCUGACGGGACCGACUCACAUGCUGACGUUCAGGUGGACCCGCUAUCAUUGGAAUCUGUUCAAGCUCAAUGGGUGGCCUGAUUAACGGAACAUGGUUUAGACCAGCUGGCUCACGGCUUCUUCAUUUCUGCUGUUUUUGUUGUUGUCAUUUUUUUUGUCUUUUAUUUCUUCAAUUUACAAUCCUUAUUUUUUAUUUGUAUGCUAAAAGAUAACCAAACCCUGGAGGGCCUCAACCCUCGAGCCAAGUGACGUCUACCGUCGGCUAAUUUUGUGAAACCAGUGGAACAUUAUCAGGACAUUCCUCUCCGUUCCCUGGAAGUACACAUGACAACGUCUGCUGAAUCGGCGUAAAGGAUUGAUGGUCUGGCACUAGCACUGUGCUUCCCCAUACUGUGACACGAAUGAAUGGAUGAAUAUCAUUUAGGGGCCUGCUAGCUGGCUCAUUCCGCCAUGUUGUCAUGCUACUAUACGGAAUAUAAAAAUCACCAAUGUGAAAUGCUUGGCUUGUUCUACUUUACUUCAAGAUGUAGACAUUAUACGUUUUUAAUUGACAUACUAAUCGCCAGCACUAAUGCUAAUCAUGUUAAUCUGUUGCCCGUAUAUUUUGAAUCCAUAAUUUUGAAACCCAAAGCCAAUUUCUUCCUACUGAAGACAUCUGUCAAACAGCUCAGGUCUAUAUAUUUUCAUUUUUAUAAAAUUGAAAUGUAAAAGUCUAUUUUUAGGGACUACUUUUAAGCAGCAAAUUGAUUUACAUUUGAUUUCCGGCGAGUAAUUUAGAA
ensembl:lncRNA